AGAAAAUCGGAAAUUAAGGUACGCUGCCUACCUGACAGUACGGAACAACAGAGCGUCAAAUGUCAGCAACGAGUCUCCCUACGCCACAGUCUUUGCCGAGGGUGUCCGGUUGUCCUUCUCCAGCAUCAGGCAAGCUGCCUACCUGCCAGGAGUGAGUAACAGAGAAUAUUGUUCCACCAGCGAGCUCCACAAUGCUACAUUCAAUGACGAGGAUGUCAGUUCGGCUAAGUCAGGCCACGGGUCUAAAUUCUACUGCUGACUCUAGGGCUUACUGCGAGACUACAAGGAUCUUCAGUCAGAGUAACGCUUCCACAUCUACGCGUCUCUGUAUCCUUCACUGUACAACAACAGGAGCAGAUGCAGGCUGACGUGAGAUAGAUGCAGUGGAUCGAUGACUUCUAACCAAAAGAAUGCAUGCAUAGGCACACACACACACACACACACACAC